rnacentral:tRNA from 1 species
GGGGCCGUAGCUCAGCUGGUCAGAGCGCGCCGUUCACAUCGGUGAGGUCGAUGGUUCGAGUCCAUUCGGCCCCA